GUGGGGAAUAUUGGACAAUGGGCGAAAGCCUGAUCCAGCCAUGCCGCGUGUGUGAAGAAGGUCUUCGGAUUGUAAAGCACUUUAAGUUGGGAGGAAGGGCAGUAAGUUAAUACCUUGCUGUUUUGACGUUACCGACAGAAUAAGCACCGGCUAACUUCGUGCCAGCAGCCGCGGUAAUACGAAGGGUGCAAGCGUUAAUCGGAAUUACUGGGCGUAAAGCGCGCGUAGGUGGUUUUGUAAGUUGGAGGUGAAAUCCCCGGGCUCAACCUGGGAACUGCCUCCAAAACUGCAUGACUAGAGUACGGUAGAGGGUAGUGGAAUUUCCUGUGUAGCGGUGAAAAGCGUAGAUAUAGGAAGGAACACCAGUGGCGAAGGCGACUACCUGGACUGAUACUGACACUGAGGUGCGAAAGCGUGGGGAGCAAACAGGAUUAGAAACCCUGGUAGUCC
rnacentral:rRNA from 1 species